UGAGGAAUAUUGCCCAAUGGGCGAAAGCCUGAGGCAGCAACGCCGCGUGAGGGAUGAAGGCCCUCGGGUCGUAAACCUCUUUUCUGAGGGACGAGCAAGGACGGUACCUCAGGAAUAAGUACCGGCUGACUACGUGCCAGCAGCCGCGGUAAAACGUAGGGUGCGAGCGUUAUCCGGAUUUACUGGGCGUAAAGCGCACGCAGGUGGCUUAGUGAGUUGGACGUGAAAGCUCCUGGCUUAACUGGGAGAGGUCGUUCGAUACUGCUAGGCUUGAGGUAGGGAGAGGGGUGUGGAAUUCCCGGUGUAGUGGUGGAAUGCGUAGAUAUCGGGAGGAACACCAGUGGCGAAGGCGACACCCUGGCCCUCACCUGACACUGAUGUGCGAAAGCGUGGGUAGCAAACAGG
rnacentral:rRNA from 1 species